AAGGAUCAUUACUGAAAGUCAUGCGCUUAACUGCGCUGACAACAUACACACAGUGGAGAUAUAUUCUUUCUUCUUCUUCUUCUUUGGGGGACGGCGGUUUGCGCUGCUGCUCCCAGAGUGAAAAAACCCAAACAACUUUUGUAUUAUUACAGAUGUCAAAACACAAAACAAAAUACCAAAACUUUCAACAACGGAUCUCUUGGUUCUCGCAUCGAUGAAGAACGCAGCGAAAUGCGAUACGUAAUGUGAAUUGCAGAAUUCCGUGAAUCAUCGAAUCUUUGAACGCACAUUGCGCCCCUUGGUAUUCCAGGGGGCAUGCCUGUUUGAGCGUCAUUUCCUUCUCAAACACUUGUGUUUGGUAGUGAGUGAUACUCUGUAACAUGGGAGUUAGCUUGAAAUUGAGAGCCCAUGGGCUGCUCUGCUGAGGCGGAAGUCGUGCUAGGUAACACCAACUCGACGCAACGCAUUCGGCUGGACGCAGCUCCGGCGAACAAACACAUCAACGCUUGACCUCAAAUCAGGUAGGAGUACCCGCUGAACUUAA
rnacentral:rRNA from 1 species